GAUGAACGCUGGCGGUAUGCUUAACACAUGCAAGUCGAACGGACUCUUCGGAGUUAGUGGCGGACGGAUGAGAAAAGAGUGACAAUCUGGAAUUGGGUUAGGGAAACCCACUGGAAACGGUGGCUAAUACCGGAUGUGCCGAGAGGUAAAAGAGAAAUUGCCUGAAGAUGAGCUCGCGUCUGAUUAGCUAGUUGGUGAGGUAAAGGCUCACCAAGGCAGCGAUCAGUAGCUGGUCUGAGAGGAUGACCAGCCACACUGGGACUGAGACACGGCCCAGACUCCUACGGGAGGCGGCAGUGGGGAAUUUUCCGCAAUGGGCGAAAGCCUGACGGAGCAAUACCGCGUGAGGGAAGAAGGCUCUUGGGUUGUAAACCUCUUUUCUUAGGGGAGAACAAAAUGACGGUACCUAAGGAAUCAGCAUCGGCUAACUCCGUG
rnacentral:rRNA from 1 species